UCCACUUGAGACAGAACGUACAUCAUGGCUUCAAAAGCACUUAUGGUAUUUGCUUUUCUUUCAAUGCUAUCAGUCAUUUUUAUUCAAGACGUCGAAAGCUUAACUGAAGAUGACUACAGAUUGUUGAGAGACUCUCCUCCGAAUCACCAUUUUAAGUCGUUGCCUAUAGGACGAAAGAGGACACUACGAUUGCGAGAAGAAGCAAGAAGYAUAUGUGAAACAGCCCGAGCCAUUGGAUGUUAGACCACCACCACGAWGAAUACACAAAAAAAUUCUGAAACUCAAUCAUGAAUGACUAAGAAAUCAAUUGAUUAGAAUCAGAGCCUCAGAUUUAGUUUGAUGUAAUUAAGAAAUGAUUUUUUUUAUUGAAUACAAAGUCGUGCACCAGAAAUAAAUAAAAGUAAUAAAUGAUCGUGCAA